rnacentral:rRNA from 1 species
AGAGUUUGAUUCUGGCUCAGGAUGAACGCUGGCGGCGUGCCUAACACAUGCAAGUCGAGCGGAGAUAAGUUGAAGCCUAGCGACUCUUAUCUUAGCGGCGGAUGGGUGAGUAACACGUGGGUAACCUGCCCUGCACUGGGGAAUAACAGCUGGAAACGGCUGUUAAUGCCGCAUAUGCGCACGGAGCCGCAUGGCUUUGGGCGGAAAGAUUUAUCGGUGCAGGAUGGGCCCGCGCCGGAUUAACUAGUUGGCGGGGUAACGGCCCACCAAGGUGAUGAUCCGUAGCCGACCUGAGAGGGUGACCGGCCACAUUGGGACUGAGACACGGCCCAAACUCCUACGGGAGGCAGCAGUGGGGGAUAUUGCACAAUGGGGGAAACCCUGAAUGCAGCGACGCCGCGUGAAGGAUGAAGUAUUUCGGUAUGUAAACUUCUAUCAGCGGGGAAGAAGAUGACGGUACCCGACUAAGAAGCCCCGGCUAACUACGUGCCAGCCGCAGC